UACGUAGGGUGCGAGCGUUGUCCGGAAUUACUGGGCGUAAAGAGCUCGUAGGUGGUUUGUCGCGUUGUCCGUGAAAACUCACAACUCAAUUGUGGGCGUGCGGGCGAUACGGGCAGACUGGAGUACUGCAGGGGAGACUGGAAUUCCUGGUGUAGCGGUGGAAUGCGCAGAUAUCAGGAGGAACACCGGUGGCGAAGGCGGGUCUCUGGGCCGAUACUGACACUGAGGAGCGAAAGCGUGGGGAGCGAACAGG
rnacentral:rRNA from 1 species